rnacentral:rRNA from 1 species
CAGCAGCCACGGUAAUACGUAGGUGGCAAGCGUUGUCCGGAUUUAUUGGGCGUAAAGCGAGCGCAGGCGGUUUCUUAAGUCUGAUGUGAAAGCCCCCGGCUCAACCGGGGAGGGUCAUUGGAAACUGGGAGACUUGAGUGCAGAAGAGGAGAGUGGAAUUCCAUGUGUAGCGGUGAAAUGCGUAGAUAUAUGGAGGAACACCAGUGGCGAAGGCGGCUCUCUGGUCUGUAACUGACGCUGAGGCUCGAAAGCGUGGGGAGCGAACAGGAUUAGAUACCCCCGUAGUCCCUGUCUCUUAUAC